AGCGAACGCUGGCGGCAGGCCUAACACAUGCAAGUCGAACGAACUCUUCGGAGUUAGUGGCGGACGGGUGAGUAACACGUGGGAACGUGCCUUUAGGUUCGGAAUAACUCAGGGUAACUUGAGCUAAUACCGGAUGUGCCCUUCGGGGGAAAGAUUUAUCGCCUUUAGAGCGGCCCGCGUCUGAUUAGCUAGUUGGUGAGGUAAAGGCUCACCAAGGCGACGAUCAGUAGCUGGUCUGAGAGGAUGAUCAGCCACAUUGGGACUGAGACACGGCCCAAACUCCUACGGGAGGCAGCAGUGGGGAAUCUUGCGCAAUGGGCGAAAGCCUGACGCAGCCAUGCCGCGUGAAUGAUGAAGGUCUUAGGAUUGUAAAAUUCUUUCACCGGGGACGAUAAUGACGGUACCCGGAGAAGAAGCCCCGGCUAACUUCGUG
rnacentral:rRNA from 1 species